rnacentral:rRNA from 1 species
AACGCGAAAGUCCCCUUCGGGGGACAAGUAGAGUGGCGCACGGGUGAGUAACACGUAGGUAAUCUACCUUCGGAUGGGGAAUAACAACCGGAAACGGUUGCUAAUACCGCAUAAUGCAGCGGCACCUAAUGGUGACAGUUGUUAAAGCGGGGGAUCGAAAGACCUCGCGUCUGAAGAGGAGCCUGCGGCGGAUUAGCUAGUUGGUAGGGUAACGGCCUACCAAGGCUUCGAUCCGUAGCCGGCCUGAGAGGGCGGUCGGCCACACUGACACUGACAUACGGGUCAGACUCCUACGGGAGGCAGCAGUCGGGAAUUUUGGGCAAUGGGCGAAAGCCUGACCCAGCAACGCCGCGUGAAGGAUGAAAUCCCUCGGGAUGUAAACUUCGCAAGAACGGGAAGAAUAAGUAGGGGACAAUACCCCCUAUGAUGACGGUACCGUUUGUAAGCUCCGGCUAACUCCGUGCCAGCAGCCGCGGUAAUACGGGGGGAGCAAGCGUUGUUCGGAUUUACUGGGCGUAAAGGGCGCGUAGGCGGCCUCCGCAAGUCAAUUGUGAAAUCUCCGGGCUUAACUCGGAAAGGUCAACUGAUACUGCGGGGCUAGAGUGCGGAAGGGGCAACUGGAAUUCUUGGUGUAGCGGUGAAAUGCGUAGAUAUCAAGAGGAACACCUGCGGCGAAGGCGGGUUGCUGGGCCGACACUGACGCUGAGGCGCGAAAGCUAGGGGAGCGAACGGGAUUAGAUACCCCGGUAGUCCUAGCCUUAAACGAUGAAUGCUUGGUGUCUGGGGUUAUAUAGUCCCCGGGUGCCGUCGCUAACGC